CCCUCUGCAUGAUGUGUAAUUAUGUAUGUUUGUGGAUUUUCCUGGAAUAAGGAAAUUUAAGACAUUCAGAAGACUCCCCAAAGUCUCCCCAAGGAAACAAGAGAAGUAUAGGCCCAGGCUAAUGGAGAAGCUCAUCUUGUUUCUGUCAUACCUUUCAGAAACAACCAGGGAUGUGAGGUCCAUAAAGGCAAGAACCUUAUAUGUCCUGUUCCCUGCUGCAGCCUCUAUCUACCCACCACAGAUUGCACCAAGCCAGGAAAAGAUCUUCAAGUAUUAGAAGGAUAAGAAGAGGAAAGAGCAAGAGCCCAAACUAAACCUAAGAGCGAGGCUUCCUUGCCACCAGGAGUCUACACCAGUGCCUAUAGCAGUGGGUGUACAACAACACCUGCUAGAGAGGGCAAUAAUAAUAAGAAAAGGAUUUCUCCAUCUAUCAAAAUCCUGCCUAUUCAAGGCCUCUCUUAAACAUCAGAUCUUCCAGACAAAUGCUGUGAAACAGGAAGGAAGGCUGCUGGCAGAAUGAGGUCAGCCCUUAACAGAGGCCCUGAGGAAUGCUGGCAUGGUACAUAAUGUCUGGAGAAGGUGUAUGGUGGCCCAGGAAAUUUGAAGGACAUCAAAACUCUCUUCUGGAUCCCAAAUGCCUAACUUACCAGCCAUGUAAGAUAUGAGACAUCUGAAACCAAUAGUGUCAAACAACUGGCUGAAUGAUGCCUGCACAUCCAAGCCCCUGGCUGCUCUCAUAAGUCCUUCCAUGGUCAAGCUGGAGAAGCCUCUUCCUGUCUAGCAUACUCUGGAUCAUGGCACCCUGUGACCACCUCUCCUUUACCACCUCUCUUAUAACACCCAGAGAAAUAUUCUUGGUCAAAGUAAACAGACCUUUAUCAGUUGGUCUUUGAGAAAAACCAACAGAGCUAAGAGCUGCUGGAAAUGAGGCACUUGAGGUUUGCUGGUAGGGAAGGAAGAAACUUGAAGUUGGCCAGAAAAGAAGCUCCCUCAGAUCAUAUUGAGUAUCGUGGUGCUCACAGGUGGGCUGAAUUCCAUCUGAGUGGAGUCUAAUCUGUGAAGGCUUUUGGACAGCAGCAGCCCCUAAUCAAAGACUUUUCUUAUGCACUCUGGGGGAAAUUCUAUUAGUAUUUCCUAAAUUUUUCUGGAAGAUGAAAUGUAGCGUUAUCACAUAACUAUCUCCCUCAUGACUCCUUUCAACGAAGUGUUCAGAAUCGACUGGGUUACCCUCCCUCAGAAGAGGACUGGUAUUUUUGGAAGCAUCUCCCUAUGCCAUAACACUUUGAGCCUCUAAAUAAUGUAAAUGGCUGAAUGAACAUGCUUCUUAGAGACAAGAGACCUUAACUUUGGUUCUGGAUCUGUCCUGUGAGGUAAGUCACAAAAUCUCAGGGUCUCACAUUUCUUAUUUGUCCAGUGAAGCAAUAAUUCUUGCCUUCCAAUAAAACCAAUGUGAGAGAGCUAAUGCAAGUGGAUUUUGAAAAAGUAAAUAUACUAGCUAAACACAAGAUAUUCUUCUUGUUACUGAUACUGCUAUAUACCUAUUACUACUAAUAAUAGGUUUUAUCAGCAGCCCCUAAGGAGAGAAAAUGAAUGUAUGACUAAUUGGGCUGUUCAGAUACCUCAGCCUUUGCAAUAGACUCUGAAACAGACCCCACGAGAGAGUAAACAAGUAUAACUGCUGACAUGUGGGCAGCCCUGGUGGCUCAGCGGUUUAGCGCCGCCUACAGCCCUGGGCGUGAUCCUGAAGACCGGGUAUCGAGUCCCGCAUCGGGCUCCCUGCCUGGAGCCUGCUUCUCCC